UACGUAGGGGGCAAGCGUUGUCCGGAUUUAUUGGGCGUAAAGAGCGUGUAGGCGGCUUGGUAGGUCCGCUGUGAAAACUCGAGGCUCAACCUCGAGACGCCGGUGGAAACCAUCAGGCUAGAGACCGGAAGAGGUAAGUGGAACUGCGAGUGUAGAGGUGAAAUUCGUAGAUAUUCGCAAGAACACCAGUGGCGAAGGCGGCUUACUGGUCCGGAUCUGACGCUGAGGCGCGAAAGCGUGGGGAGCAAACAGG
rnacentral:rRNA from 1 species